UGUCUUUAAGCAAGGUUAAUUUACACACAAUCUCUUCGGGCGUACUGUGCAGCACUGAUUAUCGGAAGAGCAUUCACAUUUGUUUCCCAUAAUAUUGGCACAACUUCCGACAUGGUGAACAUUGCAUUCCGUAUACGUGUCCGACUGACCAAAAACAAAAAACAGAAACAUAAGUAAUUUGUCAUUUGAUAUUAUUUCUGUUUUCGAUAUGGCGAAUUGGAACGAGAACUGGGUUUAGUGCGACAGUGUUUCUGCAGAUGGCAGUAUCCCAGACGCUUAUAUUACUCAGACCAGUGGCACCAUUACAAAAAGAUAUGGCGUCAUAGUUUACGUCAGCGUAUGUCACACCUAGCACAAAUGUUGAACAAAUCACUCUCGGAGUAUCCGAACGAACUGGUAGGACACGUGGAUGAUGCCUACAUCUUAGCUCAAAAACGCCCACCACGAAGAUAACGGAGGUGUAACCAUAACACCAUGCAGCAAUUGCUACCCAAUGGCCAAUGCUUUUAACUGUAGCCAAUAGAUCUGUCAUCUCGAGUUACGCAAGGAGGGCACGGCCAUGCUCAUCUUAUUGGGCUACCUCGGGCGACUGAUGGUCAACUCAUAACCACAGUUCAUGGCUUUGGCCAUAGCGUGCUAGUAUUGCAGUGGUCGGUUUAUUUUUUUUUCUGUCUUAAUAGCCGGGAACUAUAAUUAUAAAUAAUAAGAUUAAAAACAGGGGAUUAUACACACUUUCAUUAAGUAAACAAUACUUUCUUAACUUGUAGUGACACGGUUUAUAAUGUAAUUUGAUGGAGACAUCCACAAGCGUUUCAUGUUGAUAUUCGGAGAGUAUUAUUGUUUGAUCCAAUUAUGUGACUUUCUUUAUUGACCGUCUUCCCAGCUGAUAUAUACUUUGUUAUCGUUAUCAAACUAUACCAUGAACCUAAUGUAGCGGUGACUUGGGCAUCUUUUUGAUGUGUUUUAUUUAUUUAUUUCCCUCCUCCAAAAUGCAGUUUGUUUAUUUUCAUAUAAUUGUCUUAUGC